CGCUAGUUCUCUCUCUUUGUUCAGCGAACUUUUGUGUUGCGGUAGUAUUGCGUUGCGGUAGUAUUGCGUUGCAACAUGUCCUCUUCAGAAAGUCGCUUAGUGAUUGCGGGCGUACUCCAGUCUACCUCAUUAUGAUGGGAGUGCUGAAGCACGUGGCUUCGGAUGAUUUGCGCCAUAGGCGUUUGUUUGUAGUCUACGUGUUGAACGUCUGCAUUUGAUGCAUCAAAUAUAAAUUGCAGUAAACGCGAUGAAGAGUUAAGUUGGCGAUUUCACAGAUGGUAAGAAUGAAGUUCCCAACUGCAAAAAUGUGGUGGCCUCCUCUAAGAGAUGUAAGAAGACCAAGUCCUUUUGGUGGUAUACAUUUUGGAAUAUGAUCGCUGGUUUCUGCAUGGAUGUUAAUGUGCAGAUGUAGCUUUGAAACUUUGGUGUUAGAGUUUUGAAUGAAAUUUUUAUUUAGAUGUUUGGAUGGAUGUCUUUUUCAAUAAAAGUGUGAAU